rnacentral:lncRNA from 10 species
GCUUGUCAUUCUGAGUGUGGGGACACACAUGCUACCCUGGUUGUCAGCAGGUGAGAAGGGGGCUCUGAUCAGCUUCUCACUGGAUUUAGAGAAGAGCAGAUGCCCCUGAUCAGCUUCUCACUGGAUUUAGAGAAGAGCAGAUGUCCCAGACUUGUAGCUGCCAUUGCCUCUCUCUUUCGGAAAAUGAGAGUUGCUAAGAGGUGAGAUCAGAGACUUCAGCUCGCACAGCAGCACAAAUGGCUGAGUGUUGGGGAUACAAGUGGCUGAGCGGCGAGCAGAGAAGCAGCGACUGAGCUCUGGAGACUACAGAUAGACGCAGCUAACUUCAGACGGUG